UCCACAUGCAUGUAAAGGCCACAGAGCUAUGCCAAGGAAGUCUUCAGGUAAAGGUGGAGGAGUCCCAUUGGCAGCAGCUCCUACUGGAACUAGCCCAUCUGCAGCAGCUUGGUGCUGGGGUGAAUGCAGCAAAGCUGGAGCACUUUUCUAGAGUGCUUCCAAAGCAAAGCCAAAAGCCUAGUAGGCACCUAAGGGAGUCUAAUGGUGGGGUCUUUCCAGCAAACAUUUCCCAAACGCUAAGAAGCAGAACUGGAGUCAGCCUGCUUUAGCUCAUGUAACUCCCAUGAGCUAUUUUUUCCUUACAUACUCAUUAGGAAAGAAAAUAGAAAUGCUUUUAGACCUGGAAGAAGAAUGCUACCCACAGCAAUGAGAUAGUAGAGUUUUCCCUAAAAAGGCUGUCCCUAUCAAGGUAACUCUUUCCUAUGCUUCUCUCCUGAAAACUAGGGCCGGCACUGCAGAUGGCUCCAGGGGAAGAGGCAUCCUUACUUGAAUUUCUCAGGUCCAAGGUUCCCAACCACAUAUGGCUCUGUCAUCCUAGAAAACAGGGGCCAGAUAAAUAACUGUUUGGAAAAUCCUCUCAGAGGUGAAAAUGGGAAGAAAGAGAAAGGCAUGUUGUCUUGAAGAGACAUGGCUGGACAGCGUUGAGAAUUAAACUCAAAAUAGUCUUUUGGAAGUAGCCUUUCUAAUCAAAUGGUAAUUUGGUUCCAAAAUACUAGGAAACUGCACUUGCAAAGACUCCACGCAGUUUAAUCGGUGCACUGCACAGACUGACUGCUGUCUGCAAGGACUGGUGAGAAAGAGAGAUGGAGAGACUUGUACAGUAACUGUGAGAGUGCACCAAAGCUCUCCAGAGUCUCAUGACUCCUCUGCGAAAGAACCCACUGCCUCUUUCACCUGCAGAUUUGGAACAAAGCAAGGGUCACACCUUAGUACUAGUCAUGUCUAACACAAGUGGCAACUAUCUUUCAAAUACUAUGUUAAUAAAGACUGAUAUGUACCUACUGAGUUAGUAAGCCUCAAGAGCCACAGAAUCAUAGGGUUUGGAAGGGACCCGCGUAUUUAAUCCAGCCCAACCCCCUGCUGAAGAAGAACAAGACCAGACCCAGUAUGUACCCAGAAGAAACAGUGCUAGCUACAUGCCUCCCACUAUACUUUGUGCUGCUGAUCACAACCCUUUGAGCCCUGACAGUCAGCCAGUUCUCAAUCCACCUCACUGUCUACCUAUGCAUUCCACGCUCCUAAGAUUACCUACGAGGAUGUUAGGGGAGAUAGUAUGUAAAACUUUGCUGAAGAAUGCUGGUGUAGGAUUCCAGAUCCAGGGCUUUUUUACUGUCAGCUUUCAUUCUGAUUUAGUAAUGUUAAGUACAGUACAUGCAAAUUGUUAUGCAGGCAAGCCAUGUAACAGACCAAAAAAAGAAGUCCAUAUUUGAGAUGUAUGAUGUCUGCAGAAUGUGGAAAAAUGAACUGUUAUUUCACGCUGACCUCUGUGAACGCUAACCCAUCUCAGGGACCUAAAGGACCAAGAGAUACCAUGGGACAAGGUCAUGCCUCAACACAAUGUGGAGGCCAUGCCCUGGAGAAAUGGCCUUGCUACUCGACUUCAGCAUCAACCUGAUUCACCAUAAGUGAAAGAGCAGGAGUGUUUGUAUCAAAGUCCUUCCAGUUGAUGGUGUCCUCUUUAACUCCACUGGGGAAGAACAUGUUUAUUUCAGAAACAGCGUGGUUUUAGUACAUAGGCAAUUACUGCAGUGAGGAUGUACAGGGCUGGUGGUGACAGCAUUGCAGAGAGAAACUCCAGCUGGUUUAUAGUAGUUAAGCCUGGUAUCUGCUAGCAUACUUCUGAGACAAUGGGAAGGUCAGAAGAAGCUGCAUAACUUGCUUCCUAAGCAGGGCUGCUUUGACCUUUCCAUGGCAGACUGCUCCUGUGACCUGGGCUGGAUGUGGCCUGGCCCAUGGAUGUACACAGACCAGAAGAUAUACUCCUUGGAGUUACCUGAGAUAUAUAUAAUAGACAGGGAGAAGCUUAAAAUGACACUGACAAGUUACUUGGGAGGGGAAGCAAAACUAAGACAUCAGUCAUAAAAAUAUAUUCUUCUGUCUCUGGCACACAAAUCACCUAGACUUAGUUUGCACCAUGAGCAUUUACUGCAUGCAUGCUGAACCAGGGCAAGCUCUUGCUGGCAGCUUUUUAAAGUAAUGCCACAGCAGCAUUCACGUAUAGGGAGGACAGAGUUAAAGAGCUGACCCUGGGGCAACUAUUUAAAUAACCCAACUACUGGUGCAUUAUGGACAGGUGAAAGAGCUCUUUAAUAGUCUGCCUUUUCUCCUUGUGUCAGUUAUGCGCCCAUCUCUCAGCAUCCCAAUCAGCAGCCAGCCUGAAGCUACCAACCUCCCCCAGAGAAGGUGGAACAACAAAAGGGUUAACAAAAAAUUCACUGUGGCAACCACAGAAUGUUCCCAACUUUUCAUGUAAAUACUGUGACUAACAGCUCCAUAAACCAGCCUGUCACCCGGACUGUAAGAACAGAUGUGAUAGCAACAAGGAAUUAAAAUCUUAGUUAAUAAUCCCUCAAUCAAGGGCAAUCUUUUCUUUUACUUUCCGGACUUGUGCUGCUACUCAAUAAACGAAAUAGGAAAAAGAUAUUUUCUCUGACCUGCAAGUGACUCCAUCAGCCAUAACACACAACUCCUACUGCUACAAUUGCCGAAAAGAACACUUUUACAUUUGAACUUCAAGAGGAUUUACUUGGACCAGAGGCAGCCAGAAACAGAAGAAUUUUAAUGACUGUGGGAGGACUGUUGGUAUUUUAAGAAGUCUUCUAAAACCCUUUGCGGGAUUGAAGAUAAGAAAAAUAAGUGGAGCAAUUUUUUUUCCACUAAG
ensembl:lncRNA